UACGGGGGGGGCAAGCGUUGUUCGGAAUUACUGGGCGUAAAGGGCUCGUAGGUGGCCAACUAAGUCGGACGUGAAAUCCCUCGGCUUAACCGGGGAACUGCGUCCGAUACUGGUUGGCUUGAGUUUGGGAGAGGGAUGCGGAAUUCCCGGUGUAGCGGUGAAAUGCGCAGAUAUCGGGAGGAACACCGGUGGCGAAGGCGGUUCUCUGGGCCUGUACUGACGCUGAGGAGCGAAAGCGUGGGGAGCGAACAGG
rnacentral:rRNA from 1 species